rnacentral:lncRNA from 1 species
GCCGAGGUCCUCUUCUAGGAUUGGUUGUCCACUCAUAACCAUAAGAUAAUUAAAACGGGGGGGGGCAGGGUAAAAAAAAAACCCUUUUAUCAGCCAUAGGUUAAUGCAAGUGUUUAACAGAUGCUUCGCUAUUAAAAUAUUUCCCCCCAAUACUGAAGAAUCUUAAACCAGAAGGCACAGUUCAUUCUCGAGCAAUUCGUCACCUCCUGGGGGUCUUCUCUUCCCGUCUACAGGAGAGUGUGACUUCAGAAAGAACUUCGGAUUGGCCAAGGCAGGUCUGAUUCUAUUUAUUCUAAAGACAGAGUUGGAGAUGGGCUACCAUUGGUGUUGAUUGAGAUGACAAGCAGUCACCUGAGCCCAUACAGCUGGUAAGUAGAACAGUACUGGAGAGAUGGCUCAGCAGUUAAGAGCACUGACUGCUCUUCCAGAGAUCCUGAGUUCAAUUCCCAGCAACCACAUGGUGGCUCACAAACAUCUGUAAUGAGAUCAGGUGCCCUCUUCUGGUGCCUUUGAAGACAAAGACAGUGUAGUGUCAUAUAUAUAAAAUAAAUAAAUCUUUAGAAAUUUGAAAAUAA